CCUACGGGAGGCAGCAGUGGGGAAUAUUGCACAAUGGGGGAAACCCUGAUGCAGCGACGCCGCGUGAGCGAUGAAGUAUUUCGGUAUGUAAAGCUCUAUCAGCAGGGAAGAAAAUGACGGUACCUGACUAAGAAGCCCCGGCUAACUACGUGCCAGCAGCCGCGGUAAUACGUAGGGGGCAAGCGUUAUCCGGAUUUACUGGGUGUAAAGGGAGCGUAGACGGCGGUGCAAGUCAGAUGUGAAAGCCCGGGGCUCAACCCCGGGACUGCAUUUGGAACUGUAUAGCUGGAGUGCAGGAGAGGCAGGUGGAAUUCCUAGUGUAGCGGUGAAAUGCGUAGAUAUUAGGAGGAACACCAGUGGCGAAGGCGGCCUGCUGGACGAUGACUGACGUUGAGGCUCGAAAGCGUGGGGAGCAAACAGGAUUAGAUACCCUUGUAGUC
rnacentral:rRNA from 1 species